rnacentral:rRNA from 1 species
AGUGAACGCUGGCGGUAGGCCUAACACAUGCAAGUCGAACGGCAGCACAGCAAGAGCUUGCUCUUACGGGUGGCGAGUGGCGGACGGGUGAGGAAUACAUCGGAAUCUACUUUUUCGUGGGGGAUAACGUAGGGAAACUUACGCUAAUACCGCAUACGACCUACGGGUGAAAGCAGGGGAUCUUCGGACCUUGCGCGAUUGAAUGAGCCGAUGUCGGAUUAGCUAGUUGGCGGGGUAAAGGCCCACCAAGGCGACGAUCCGUAGCUGGUCUGAGAGGAUGAUCAGCCACACUGGAACUGAGACACGGUCCAGACUCCUACGGGAGGCAGCAGUGGGGAAUAUUGGACAAUGGGCGCAAGCCUGAUCCAGCCAUACCGCGUGGGUGAAGAAGGCCUUCGGGCUGUAAAGCCCUUUUGUUGGGAAAGAAAAGCAGCAGGUUAAUACCCCGCUGUUCUGACGGUACCCAAAGAAUAAGCACCGGCUAACUUCGU